rnacentral:rRNA from 1 species
UUAGUGGCGCACGGGUGCGUAACGCGUGGGAACCUGCCUUUAGGUUUGGAAUAACAGUUAGAAAUGACUGCUAAUACCAAAUAAUGUCUUCGGACCAAAGAUUUAUCGCCUUUAGAUGGGCCCGCGUUGGAUUAGCUAGUUGGUGGGGUAAAAGCUCACCAAGGCGACGAUCCAUAGCUGGUCUGAGAGGAUGAUCAGCCACACUGGGACUGAGACACGGCCCAGACUCCUACGGGAGGCAGCAGUGGGGAAUAUUGGACAAUGGGCGAAAGCCUGAUCCAGCAAUGCCGCGUGAGUGAUGAAGGCCUUAGGGUUGUAAAGCUCUUUUACCAGGGAUGAUAAUGACAGUACCUGGAGAAUAAGCUCCGGCUAACUCCGUGCCAGCAGCCGCGGUAAUACGGAGGGAGCUAGCGUUGUUCGGAAUUACUGGGCGUAAAGCGCACGUAGGCGGCUUUUUAAGUCAGAGGUGAAAUCCCGGGGCUCAACCCCGGAACUGCCUUUGAAACUGGAAAGCUAGAAUCUUGGAGAGGCGAGUGGAAUUCCGAGUGUAGAGGUGAAAUUCGUAGAUAUUCGGAAGAACACCAGUGGCGAAGGCGACUCGCUGGACAAGUAUUGACGCUGAGGUGCGAAAGCGUGGGGGAGCAAACAGGAUUAGAUACCCUGGUAGUCCACGCCGUAAACGAUGAUAACUAGCUGUCCGGGCUCAUGGAGCUUGGUGGCGCAGCUAACG